ACGGUGCCAAAGGCUUAUGUCCAAAAAGGAGACAGAGGAGUAAGCUCUGUAGCUUUAUUUGAAUAAAGGGAGAGGCCAUGGAGCAUUUCCUCUGGGGUCUCUAAGAUUGCUAGAGGAUGCAGCCUUCUUUCUAUUCUAAUUUCCCAGACCCAUUUUCCCCUCUCUGUCUCCAGUAGCUGAAGUGCUUGAGAGGUACAGACUUCCCAAAGCACCUAAUACAGAGCCUCUUCUAAUGUGCAUCCUGGUUUUCUUUCUGUAAGUCCAAGAAUUUAGCAUGGCCUUGUGUAAACUGCAGUCUGUGUCAAUUAGUGGAAUUCCUCUGGAAUAUUUGGUUCCUCUCAUUGCUUCUUUCCCCUAUCACUAUCUGGCUUAAUCUGCCAGCAGGUGCACAGUUUGUUUGUAAAGACAUCUCCUUCUCAUUGCUUUCAUUAGGAAAAAUUUAUUGGAUUGUGGUGAGGCAUUGGAAUAGGGAAGGAGAGGCAUUGUGGUUGCCCCAUCCUGGCAGUGUCCAAGGCCAGGUUGGGUGGGGCUUGGAGCAGCCUGGGAUUGUGGAAGGUGUCCCUGCCCAUGGCAGGGGGUUGGAACAAGAUGUUCCUCAAGGUCUCCUUCUAAGCCAAACCAUUCUAUAAUGCUAUGAUUGUAGAACAUGCUUGUGGAACAGAACAUCCCAGUCCCAUCUGAGCUGGGAUAAAGGAGGAGGAAAGAGGCUGCCUGCCACAGAACGGUGCCUGGCCCUACUCUGAGAAUUUAGUCUCACAGUAUUUUUGCAUGCUUGUCAUCCAGGCCAUCUGGUUAACGGGAAUCUGGUUCUUGCAUGCGCUGGGUUAAGAUACGAUGGUGUCCGCGGUUGCCAGGCAGGAUCUGAUGGAGUCAGCCUGUUCCUCUCCCGGGGACCGGAACAUCUCUCUUAGGAGGACAGGCUGAGGGAAUCGGGCCUGCUCAGCCUAGAGAAGAGACCUCAUCCCUGGCUGUCAGUGUCCAAAGGGAGGCGUCAGAGCAUGGACCGGGCUCUCAGCAGUGGAACGAGAGGAACAGGCAGGAACUGAUGCCCAGGAAGUUCCACCAGGACAUGAGGGAAAACUUUCCUGUGCACUGACCAAGCACUGAACAGGCUGCCCACAGAGGGUGUGGGGUCUCCCUCACUGGGGACAUUCCACAUCAAUCCUGGACACAAUCCUGGACCGUGUGGUCUUGGCCCUGUUUGAACAGGGAGGUGGGGCCACUCUGUUCCCUUCCAACCUGACCCAUUCUGUGAUUCCCUCUUCACUGCAGUGAGCUGGGCUCUUAAAUACUAGAUGUCAUUGCUUUUCCCCCAUCCCUUUUAUCAGCAUUGAUUCACUAUUUCAUUACCUGUAUCAGGAUCUUUUAUCUAUUUUUUCUCUUCAGGUUACUAGGAUCUCCAUGCUUUUAAAAAUCAAGAUAAAAGCCAUACUUUUACCCCCAAAAAUCCUCAUUAUGUGUCAAAAGCAGGCAUCAGAAAUCAACCACAGCAGUGGUGCACUUGCGUUCUGGUUUGAAGCCCUUGGCAGAUUUCUGCCAUACAGCAGAACCCAAAAUGACUGCAAGCCCCUUCAUUGUGUCCUCAGCCUCAUGUUUGCACAGCUUUUGACAUACUAAGAGAUAGACCAAGGGGCACCACAAAUGGUUUCAGCUGCAGAGGAGCUGUUGCUACCAAAACAAUGAUUCAUUCUGGCUUUCAGCCUGUCCUUUAGUACAUCUUGGGAAAAUCCUCAUCAGAAGCAGGCUUAGUCUGGAGAAACUGUCCAGAGACACCUGAUGCAAUUAUCUGAAAUAGGUAUUACCUUCACAGGAAACCCUGACAGAUAUUUUUAUUCCAAGGUGAAACACUUUAUGUUGUUCCACAGAAAAAAGGUUGUUUCUCUACAUUUUAUUCCAUGCUAGAGAAUCCCAGAGAAAACAUGAUGAUUAGGCAAUCGUUUGUGACAAAAUUAGUUUCAUGAUUUCAUCUAGUUGAACCUUUUUUUUUUCCCUUUGAAUCUUGAAAUUUUUUACAGUGGCAGGACAAAUAACCAUUCCAAACUUGAUGCCUGAAGUAAUACUGAUCUGUUUGUCUAAGUUUGCAAAGCACCUAAAAAUACUCCAAAGGUUUUCCUUUAGUGUCAAUGCAUUGCUUGGAUAUGGGUGAGGAUGGUUUAAUUUAAUGUUAGAUCAAAGCAAAGAGGAAAGAGGAAAAAGGAAGAAAUGUCACGUGUUCUCCAGAACAUGUGCUGGGAGUGGGCCACAGAGAAGAAAGGGGAUGGAGAAUGUAACAAAGCAAGUUUGUAAUCACAUCCCAGUUUAGGAGGGUAUGAGAUUCCUGUUGUUUCCCCCUCAAAGGUUGGAAAAUCCUGUGCUGCAGUGAUGAAGAGCUGCUUUGCUUAUCCCUGGCUCUGAUAUCUCAGGCUCCAGAGAACUUCCAUCUCUCCCUAGGUACUGUAAUACCCUCGUAUGUGUGCUCUUACAGGGUCACAGCAAUCACAGCAGCUGUUCUGGAAGAGUCUGCCACUUCUGCUUCAUAUUACAGCGAUCAUUUGAACCUUCCCUUCUUGACAACAACAGUUUUAUAACUUCUGAGCUCCUCAGAUUGUACUCAGGAUUGCCAGGAGAAUCCUGAUACUCCCAUCAUGCCUCAGAGGUGACGAAAGGAAAUCCUGAGUCCAAAGCUGAGAACGGGGUCUCAUGAAAACAAGAAAUUAUGCAAUCUACUGAAGAGAUUUUCUUCAGAAAGAUCACAGGUCUCGUGCUUUAGUCAUGGCCUCUGCCAGCAGGUUCACUGCAAGCUAAGUGAUUUCUUUCACGUAAGCUGCUCACGACGACUACAGAAACCUCCAGGAUUACAGUGCACAAACAAUGGGAGAAAAGCUGCUUCAAAUAAUACACCCAGACAAUGGAGUUGCCAUUAUGGUAGCAAUGCAAAAUAUAGACAGGGAUUUAAAUGAAACGGGUGGUAUCUGUAUACUUUGGAGGGCUCACGUGUGCCAAAUUUGGCAGCAUGAGUCUUCAUACUGCUUGUUGCUCCACCCCUUGAACAAUGAGGCUAAACCCCAUAUGUGCAGGAGUUGGUAGAGCACAAGCAGUUUUGCUAAUCAUGCUGCAUGCAAAAGCAAAAAGACAAAGGAAACUAGUAAUGCUUAGACUAGCAUUGGGGAAAUAAUUAAGCAUGAAUGAAAUAUUAUAUGUGGAUUUGAAAUGAAUGUUCUCGGAAACAAUUGUGCUGUUUCAGUUGUGCUGCUUCCCCCCCUAAGUUUCACAAAGUAAUUUGCAUGUCAUUUAAAUAAAUACCAUAAAUUAUUGCAAACUUUUUGUUUUUAUUUACAUAAAACAAAAUACUAAUUUCCAUUAUUGUUUGGAUUACCUGACAAGAGUGAAAUGCAGAGGUCUGAGAGGAAACCUGUCUCUCCCUAAAGUAUUACAGAUUUCUCAUGCAUGAGAGAACCAGAAAGCAGGACCCCAUAUUCAGCUUUGCCUGACAUAGACAAGGAAUGCUCUGUACAUGAAACAGAGAUAUGGGAUCAGAUCUUCCAGCUGAGCCAAGCUGGAGCUCAUACUCCUUUCACUUUCUUUCAGUGUCAUCCACACGUCACCUAUUUGAUUUCACCUCUGAUAAAUAUUUGCCUUCCUUCUUGACUACUUACUUACACUUCUUUGUCAGAUUCCUUCUCAAAACCUGCUUUCUCCUCUCACCCCAUCACAGGGUCAACAGCAGCCAAUUCAGAACCCUUGACAGUCUCUGUGUUUAGACAAAUCAGAGGAAAAUAAAUGACUGAAAUACAGAAAUCCAGGAAAAAUGGAGUGGACGAUAACCUAAAAAGCUAGGAAGGUGCACACAACUCUGCAGCAUGAUAUGGAGCCUGAUGGCCACUCAAAACUAAAUACAGGUACCACCACCUGAAAAACCAAGUGACCUAACAUCCUGCAAAAGGAGGAAUUUAAUACAUAGUAUAAUUUUUAAUGUUCUGGCUAUAAGAGACUAAAUGAUCAUUCGCGCUUCUGACCUAUGAAAUCUGCCUGCAGGUUUCCUCCACAAUGCUUUUAUUUAUAUCUAGUUGCUCUCUCCAGUCUGAAAGGGAACCCAAGAGAUAUUUCUCACUCUUCUCACAUAACCUUGGGCUGCUUUUCCCCAUGUUGUUAAACAUGUCAGACAUUAUAGAUUGCAAGCCAGAUGAACUCAUUAUACAGAUGUUCUUUGCACAGAGGACUAGCCUGUAGUAUCAGUUUCUAAGGCUGUUUUUUGCUUUAUAAACCCUCUUCUUAUUUUGGAUACAAAGGCAUUUAGGCAUUUACUUUCCUGGAUUUGCUUAUUGGAGCCCUAAGAUGUGCUUCACCACAAAGGAAAUAAAAUUGACUGGGUGUAACUUCAUGAUUUCCAGAUAUCACUAGGGUGUGCUGUAGAUCAUGAAAUUUCAGUAAAGCACCAUUAGCAGGGAAAAAUCUAGCUGCUAUAAUAAAUAUUUUAAAUUAAUUACAAACACAGAAGCAGCUCUCAACUGACUUGAAUUCCUCUUAAAACAACAUACACACUCAAGAGAGGUAAUGUAACAUCUAAACAAUUUAAAACAUUUUUGUACACAGGCUUGGUCAGCACUCCAGCAGAAAAGUAGAGUCAGGCAGAUAAUCACACACCUAAACUGCAUGUAAGUAACUAAAAUUCAAGCAUGCAGUCUAGUGGGAAUUGAAAAAAUGAGACUGGAACCAAUAUCCAUAACAAACCAGGUAACAAGCAAUAACACUCUGGAAAACUUUCUUUAAAAAAAAAAAAAAGGAAGAAAAAAGUCUGUAUAAGUCACUAAAACUCACAAAGGUAGUAGAGAGUGAGGGGAGGAAUUGUAGGUAUUUACACAAAUUACUUUAUAUAAACAAUGGUGCUGAGAUUUCCAGUGAGGAUAACAGUAGGACUGAACCAAACCCAUCACAGGAGACUGCACCUCUUGGGUGUCAGCUCUUAGUAACUGAGGAGGAGGCUGCAGCUUUGGGAGGAAGGAAAGCAUCAGCUCCCAGCUCCGGGCUUCCAGCCCCUGCAGGAGCUGGGCACCCUUGUUACAAACACACCCAGCAGCUGCUCAGCACCUGGGACAAAGCACCUUCCUACUCUUGCACCUCUUAGCCUAGGAGAGAAACACCCUGGCACCCCAUCCUUCAGCACCCACCAGCUCCCAGUGCAGGCAUGGAGGGGUGGUGGGAUCCUGAACCCAGCACAGUGAGGAUGCUGAAUCAGAAGAGUUUUUAAGCACAGCUAACUUCAAGCACAUAUUUACACCAAAACACACAGACUCAAAUGCACAUUUAAAAAGAAGCACCUAUUAAAACAAUAACAAAAACUUUACGGGUUUACUGCUGAGACCUCAGCUGUCAAGAUAUAUCCAGAAUGCCAUGGUUGGUGGUAACAGCAAACAAUUAUCAAGGGAUGCUCCCAAGCUCCAUGAACUGAGUUUGGUAGUCUUACACCAUGAACCACAUAUUCAUUAUUAUAACAAAUUGUAUUGCUAUUUGUAGCAUCUAGGGAACCCCAAUCAGGGCUCUAUUGUGUGACAGACUGUACAAGCACAGAAAAAUAGGAUGGCUUUUAUAAUGAGUACAUCACAAGCCCCACUACCAUAAUUAACAUUGAUUAGCAUCGAUGCAAACAGCAUGGGAAGACAAAGAUUGAGCCAGUUUGGAGGCUGAGGUACUCUCUCACCCCUUAAGGUGCUCCUUUGGUUCCCAACUGCAGAACAGAGGGGAGGCUGUUUCAGUGGGGAAGGCUGCAGUCCCCAGCACUCCCAGGAGCACAUUCUAGGACAGGGCAUAUAAAGAGGCAUCUUUGUCACUUACAAAUCCAUUUUCUAUCACAGGAAAAACCACAUGGCAGCACCACCAUCAAUUCUGGGAAAAAAAGGAUGGUUGGCAACAUCUGAUCUACUCCAUGUACUAGAAAAGACCCCCAAAAGCCAAGUUCACUUAAAAUGAAAUCUCAAAAGAGUGGCCUUAAUGGACAUGGGAUGUGUGGCUGCAUGUAAUAAACUUCCUGCAAAAACCAGCCCUUGCUAGAUCUGUAACUAUCACAUGCAUCUCCUCAUCCCAGGUCCAUGGCAUUUUCCCAGACUUGCCUUGGAUACUAAUGCAGUUUUUCUUUUUUAACUGUAGGAAAGAGUUGACAGAUCUGUAAUGUCAGCAAAAAUUGAUAGUGUGAAAUCAUAGGGUUGAAUAUGUUGAUUGUGUUAAUGAAAUUAUCUUCACUAACGAAACAAGAUUCCAGACCCAGAACCUUCCUAUGAACUCUUCUCUCUCCCAAAAUGUUUCUACACUUCUUUUACUGCAUAACCUAACAAAAUCCAGACACCUGGAAUUCUACUCCCACAUUCAGCACCAUGGAAAACAUAUCCACAGAAAAUAUAUUCCCACUAGAAAUUUUCUUCAGUUCCCCAUGCCAUAACCUAACCUGCAGUCUGCUGUCUCUUCAGACUUACUGCUUGUUUCAAGAAUUCUCAUGUGCAAUAAACUGAGUAUGUAUGUAAAUAUUUGCAGGACUAAACUGUAGCCACAAUUUCAAAUGCAAUCAGGAUAUGUUGUGCUCAGUUGUAGUUAGGGUCCAGUGUUUUGCUAUUUUUUGCUGUUCUGGUGAAGUUUCUUAAUUUGUUUUUCUUCUAAGCUACUUCCUACAAUUUCACUCAGAGGGAAAUGAAACAUAAUUCUAUAAAGCCUAAAAAUAAACCCAGAUCUGCUAAAAAAUUCAUCAUUUCACUCCCAGGCUUCCACCAGCUGGGCUUGUCUGCUUUAGGUUUGACACCCCUGAGAGCUACAAGCAUGACUUACAAAGAUGAGCAAGUUUACAUGAGAAUGAUGAAAAUAUCCAUUUUUUUAAUCUUUGCUUUGCCAAAAUACCAUCCGGGGCAUUUAUUACUUGAAGACAUUUAUUUUUGGCAAUUUCUCACUCCCUUUUCAUACUGUACUUACAUUAUUUGCAAAUUUGGAGAGGUAAUACCCAAAUCCAUAUUCUGCUUUACGUGUGCUUCUUUCAGGCUUGCUCAUUACAUUCGUUAAACUAUUUAAUUCUCAAGGAUCUACUAGAGAUACAGUGAAGACCCCCUGAACACCAGUUAAGAAUAAACCUGUAAUGAGAAUAAAUUACACAUGCAUAUCAAUUGAUACAAGUCCUGCACGGAGUGAGACCUUUCUACAUAAACAUCUGCUGCAAAAUUAAAU